GUCCGCCCCGGAGGAGGCGCCGCGCCGGCUCGGUGCGGCCAUGGCGGGCUUCGUGCGGGAGCUGGAGCGGCGGGCCGGGCCGGCCCUGCGGCUGGAGCAGCGGGCGAGGGGCGGCGUGGGCUGCGUGGUGUGGGACGCGGCGCUGGUGCUCGCCAAGUUCCUGGAGACCGGCAGCUGCCCCCUCGCCCACCGCCAUGUCCUGGAACUGGGCGCCGGCACCGGCGCCGUGGGCAUCAUGGCGGCCACGCUGGGGGCAGACGUGACGGUCACGGACCUGGAGGAGCUACAGGAGCUGCUGAGGGUGAAUAUAGAAAACAACAAACAUCUGGUGACAGGGUCAGUCCGAGCCAAGGUACUGAAAUGGGGUGAAGAUGUGACAGAAUUCCAGCCUCCCCCUGAUUAUAUACUGAUGGCUGAUUGCAUUUACUACGAGGAGUCGUUGGAACCGUUACUGAAGACGCUGAAAGACCUCACGGGCCCUGACACGUGUGUCCUGUGCUGUUACGAACAGAGGACGAUGGGAAAGAACCCUGAAAUUGAGAGAAAAUACUUUGAGCUGCUUCAGACGGACUUUGAGCUGGAAAGAAUUCCCCUGGAGAAGCACGACGAGGAGUAUCGCAGCGAGGACAUUCACAUCGUGAACAUCCACAGGAAGCAAACGAGUUUUCCGUCAUGAGGUUCUGACCACAUUAUCUGUCCUCUGGCAGCCAGCAGAGCUCUGGAGAAGAGGGCGAGGGGGUAGAAUAACACCGCAGGGGGACCGUCUGCGCUGUGGUUUGUGACUCAUCUGCAGAAAACGGCUUCGCGACCGUGGACUUGGCGUGAGGCUCCAGAAGCGGCCUCGUUCCACCAGGACAGACUUGAGCUGCUGAUGCCUGCAGGCCGAGGCAGAAAAAGGAACCAGAGCUUCCCCCGGAGCCGUGCUGGGCGCCUGUUCUGCUUCCCUGCGCUCCCCAGCGCUCGCGGAGCAGAUCCCAGGACACAGAACCGACGGCUCUGUGAGGAGAAAGCCGCGAGCGGGGUCUAUCCUGCAGCCCCAGGAAGAGGAUGGGACAUGGGGUGACAAUUCCUGCGCGUCCCCCGUCGCUGCUGCAGAGUCCCCAUGGAUUGUGUGGGGCCAGGACCUGCGCCCACGCAUCCCACGGCGCUGGUGGCUUCGCUUGGGAAGGUGGUGGGAAAAGCCAUCGGUGGCCUUGGGAGCACGGCCGGGUCGGAGAGCAUCAUUCCCACCCACUGCCAUCCCCUGUGCCGGCUUGGAUGAGGACCAGAGCAUCUUCCUCUGCAUCCAGAUGCGUGAAAUGGAGCCUGGAGACUUGUGCGCUGCACACCAAGGCUCUGGCUGGAAAAUAUGACGGCGGUUAAUGAGGAAAGCACGCCGAUGUGAUUUCCCUCCAACGCUGAACAGCUGGGGAAAACAUCAGGAAAACUCGGUAUCGCUCUGGUUUGCUGUGAGACAAAACCCUCCCGCGGGUGGAUUUUUGGGGUGUCAGCCCGGCCGUGCCUGAAACAAAACUCUACCCCCCACCCCAACGGGGGUUUCGGCACAGACGAUGCUCCUCGAGGUCACCACGGUGCCGUCGUUCCCAGCGGAGCUUUGCCAAGGGGGCAAACGGGCACCGUCAGCCUCCCGACCGCGGGACGUGGGUCAAUAUUGACCUUCUGGUUAAUCUACACCCGUCGGCGUCACGGGGACGUGGUUUAUUGAGGAGCAGCGCGACUGCGGGUGCAGGUGUUUGCUCUCUGGCUUUGCGGCGCUGAGAUUUGAGCCCCACCGAUGUCUCCUUGCCACGCACCCUUUUUUUGGGGAAAAAAACCUGCGUUUUUACACGACGUGCUGCCCAGGAGCCUGAACUCAUGCUGGGUGUAAAACCACACGGAGAACUCGCCGCUGCCCUCCCCGUGGGAUCCCUUGGGGUUUUCUCAGGUCCCCUGUAGCUCUCACAGCCUCCAGCAUCAAUCACCUCCCCACUGCCAACUUUGCAGCCUCUGGAAAACAAAAGCGAAACCUUGUCCCAACCAGAAAACUCUGAUCCAGCCCCCUGUGACCCUGCUGCAGAUGUGCCAAAUAUUUGCAGAUGUACACACACUUUUAGGUCUUGGUUUGGGAGAAGGAAGCAAGGCCAUAGCUGUAUUUCCUUCCAAAAAGAAAAAGAACACCCCAAACGCAAGUGUUAUGUAUAAUUCAGGCAGGCAACGCCCUGCAGAAGCUGUCAGGGCGGUCAGAGCUGGCUGGGAGAGCUCUGCAGAGGGGAUAUUUUGGGAAGAUGAGGGAUGCUGAGAUGGCAGGGUUGUUCCCAAGGCUUCACACUCGCGUAAAGAAAGGACAGAAGCACCCAGAUCCAGCCCCUGAGUCCCCCACAAACCCAGCAAGGCUGGUGUGUCUACCCCCAAAACCCCCGGAGCUGCGGCAGAGCGCUUGUUCAUGCCGUGACGCCCCUCGCAGCGUAAAGAUUAAGCAAAAAAGGGGGUGCUGUGGCUUGAGAGCAAAGGUUUUGCUCUGGAGUUAAACAGUGGGUCAUAAGAAGUGUCACUGGCCGUGGGUUUGGGGAAUUGGUGCAGGACGCGGUUGGGCUCUUGGGUCCCGGUUCACCAACAUCCCCAUCUCCUCUGGCACAGUACCAGCUGCUCUGCAGACGUCCCGAGACUGGGAUGCUUUUAGCUGGGGGUCUGUUGAACACCAGCAUUGAUAAACCUUUGCAAUUUAUUUAUAUAUAUAUAUAUAUAUAUAUAAAAACCUCUGCAAUAUUUGUGUGCAUAUAUACAUAUAUAUAUAUAUAUAUAUUCUUUCAUUUACAGCAUGAAAAGGGGGAAAUGAACAUUUCUGGGAGCUCUCGUAUUUGCAUGUUGUUGCCAGCAGGACAUUGUGUUGGUAGAUGUGCAUAUAAAACCAGACGGACACCCACGGCCGGGAGCGGGUGCAGAAAGGGUCGUGUGUGUCCCCACCACGUCCCUGCUCGGCUGCCGCUGGCUUUAGAUCUAGCUUAGAUCUACAUUUCCAGGCAUUUUGCACCCCGCCGUGCCCGACCACGGCCCCACGUGCGCACCGCAGCCAAGUGAAGCGCGUUAGAUGUUGGCUCUGCUGCAGAAACAUCAUCCAGCUCUUUUUAACGAGAGCUCCAAGCUGACGCAGCAGCUGGCGGGGAGAGCUGCCGGUCCUCCCGCUCCUCCAGCAGCCGUUUGCUGGGGAGGAACGUGCGGCACCGAUCCCCCCAACACCGGGGAUGCCGAGACCCCCGCCAGCUGCUUCUCCUAAAACCCGGACCCCGAGCCCACGAACGCGCCUCGUGCGGCAUCCCCGUCCCGCACGGACUUUGCCAGGACCAGCGAUGCCAGCACAGCUGGAGUCUGCGUUUCCUCCCGUCUUCGGGAGGCAGCUUCAUUUCUAGCAUUAAUUGCUUUCUUAAUUACUAUCGUCACCCUCCGCGGUGUCUCGUAGGGAGCACUGAAUGACACGCUUGUUUGUGACGCUGGAUUGCCUGUUGUUUGGGUUUUUUUCCCAACCCCGUUUAUUUAUUAGCUGGCAUUACCUUCCGAGCCAACCGCAUUUAAUAUUUUUGUUCCAGUUGGCAAAGGUUUUAUGGACCGUGGAGAGGCUGAAAUCACUGAUGCGCCCCCACAGCGAGGCCAGGAUGGAGCAGCCCCCAUCCACAUCACAAACCCAACGGGAACCGGGGGAAGCAGCAACUUGGGCAUCACUUUCCCCCCAUUCUGCUCUCAAAAGCCUCCCUGUUGGCACAGAACUUACUCCAGACACACUGUACAUGCACAUACAUUCCUCAGCCGUGCGAUCAGACCGGAAAAGAUCGCACUCAGCCUCGGAACCGCAGCGGGAAGGAGGGCUGGGGCAAAGCCGCGCGUGAACCGACGCGGGAGCGCGGCCGCCUCCAGAAAAGCUGCAGUCAACACUUUCCUGUUUUAGGAGCUGCGGUGCUAAAAGAGGAACCGCUGAGGGACGCGCAGUUGGAAAGGCCUGGAUGGGUGUGGGGGGGAAGUGCUUUUAUUUUGGCAAAAUCCUCCUUCCUCUUGCAAAUGUCUCUGCAGGACUUUGUGCAUCUGCAAACCCGCCUGGGAUCCUGCACCAUGAGCACCAGUAAGAUGCCACCACACCAGUAAGAUGCCACCACACCGGCGUCUUCCCUGAGCCCAGACUUUGCCUGUCCCCUCUUCUGUCACCGACCACCGUGGCUGGGAUGCGAAGCCAAAGGGUGGCUGAGAGCAGCAUCACCCACCCGGUGUCGCUGCUCCAAUACAGGGAACAGGCUUUGACAACAACAACUCUGCAGUACCUUGAAAAAAAUCAGAGAAGAUGGAGAAUCGUCAUCUCGGCCCUGAUGCCCCUGCGAACGCCUCCACCGGCGUAAACUCAAAGGUGUUAUUGCGGUAUGAGAAAGGAUGCAGUAAUCCGGGUUUUGCCAUUGAAAACAAUGGAAAUAAACCCCUUUGAGGAAGACAGAGCCUUCCCCACGGCGCUGCUCUGCCUCUCUGCCCGGUGCGUGUCACCCUCCCGUCCCCACCACCCUCCACCCAUCCUUUCCCCAUCUUGUGCCGCCUCCAACACCAUCCCAGCCACCAGAGCUUUUGAUUUCCCCAUUAUCUCCUAAACCCAGAGGCAAAACAAAACCAGGGCUGAUAGAACCAGCUGUGCCCCCCUCUUGCCUCCGUAUCUGCCAUUAGCAUGUUGAGACAUCGCUGCCUACGAGGAGGGCGCAACAGGAUAUUUAUUCUUCAUUAGUCACCUCACCCUCCCUAUCUGUCAUCUGCAAGCGCCCCGGCUUGAACUGCAGGUUUGGGAACAGGCUGGUUGUGCCCACGCAGCCACGGCGCGGCUGUCCUGGAGCCUCCCCUGGUGCCACCGUGAAUGUUUUUGGCAACCUGGGGAUGCCAGGGAGUUGGUAGAUGUUAAAUACAUCCCCAGAUCCAAUGCUUUAAAUAGCACCUUCUUUUUUUUUGAAGACGGUCGCUGGGAGGUGGGUUGGAGCUCAGAGUGAGCCUGCUCGCCCUAAACCUCUCCACACUAUGGGAAAAAUAUUCCAGGUGCAUUAAGCAGCCUGCGAUUCAUUAGCAAUCCAAGAGAGGAGGAAGCUGCGAGCUUCAGAGAGACAUCCAUUCAUAAAACCCUCGAGUGUUGGGAAGCUCCAGUUUUCCCGAGAGCAGCCCGGGCUCUACAUAAUGCAUCAAGUCGGCAAACACCGGGCAGAACGAGUUAACCCACAGAUCCCGCUCGGAUGCCAACGCUCCAGCGGCAACGUGAUCAACCAGUUUCACUACUCGGAGCAUUUCUGGGAGGACCAAGAGCUGGAACACCUGGAAGAGGGGAAGGAGAUGUGCAGCCCCUUUGUUUUGGUGACCGUGAGCAAAAGCAAGCAGCAUUGGAGCAAGGGGGUUCGAGCUGUGACCUCGGGUAAGGGAAACCCAUAGGUGACUUCAAAGCGGCAAAGCUGCAGCUCAUCUGCAUAGAUGCAGCCCCCUUCAUCAAUCAUUAAUAAGGACCAUGAUGGAAAGAAAAGCUGGGAAGCUUCGGUACCGUGUUUAAGAGCAUAACCUCAUAUCAAGGGGAAAAAUGCAUGUGAUUUCUUCAUUAGGUAUCAGCCAAACAGGUGAGGCGGGAGCUGAGAUGCUGAGAUUGCAGCUGCGGGGCUGCAGAUAGCAUUACUUAGGGGAGAACUUAUCACGGCCUUGGUCUGAAAUAUCCCCAUCCCUUGCUACAGAGGGCCAGAAAGCUGCAGCAAACGUGGCCAGGAGCGGGUCGGGGGCACAAAGGUGCCUUUGCAGCUGCAGGACACCGGCAGGAGCACCCCAGGGUGACAGCGGCCCCAGCUCACACACACCACAUACUCAAGAUGCUUGAGGCAAGGGCUGGAGGACUUUGAAUUCAUUAACUGGUCCAAGGUUGUAAGAUGAGCCGGGGCGAGAUCCAGGGACAGCUCGUUGGCGGCGACUCAACGUCUUCCACAAUGCAGCGACUUUGAGAGCGGCCCUCGCUGAGCUUGGCUCCUUUUCCAGCCAGCAGGUGCUGGGGAAGCUUGUUCCAAAGCUUCGUAUCGGGCGGCAAGAAGCAAUCCAGCGCUCCAGGGGCGGCCGUCCCGCUGCUGCCCCUCGCCGCCCCCUUAAAGGCUUUUAUUUUCAGCGCUGAUGUGAAAACCAGCCCAGUCAUUGCAGCCAAAACAACCCUUUAGAUCAAAAAUAUGAGUACGUACGUGAUAUGUCGCAUACAAUUCGAACAUUUAAACACGAUGCAAUUUGAACACUCAGACGCGCUUUGGGGGGAAAGGUAGAGCCAAAUCACUGCUUUGCUCACAAAAGCUUCCGGCCCCGCGGUGCGAGAUGGGCGCUGGGUUUGGUUACGGUUAAAGCAGCGGAUUGAAAGGCACAAGGACGCCAUAGGAAAAGCUUCCCGAAGAGCUGGGUCAGUUCCAGCCUAAUCCAGCCCCUGUGGGGAAAGGGCGUUCUGGCAGAUGUUAAGCUAAUGGGAUAAGCGCACCUCGCUCUGCUGACGGGCGGCCGCUGAGAGUUAACAGCCCCCCGCUUUCAAAGGGAAAAGGGAGAAAGCUCCUCGGGGCAAAAAUAGCAAAUAUUAACAGCACGAGGACUACGCAGCCCCACGUUCCGUGCUUGCAAAGUGCAAAGUCUCCCGAGGCAGCGCGCCAAGCAAACGCUGCUCCGAGGGAGAAGUUGCCGGCGCCGGGGCCGCUGUCAGAUCCACCUGGAAGCAAACCCAUUGAGCUCCCACCCUUCGUGUAACGAGUUUGUUCCUCAAAUAUCAGCUUCAAAUGAAGGCCAGAAGUAUUUCGGGGCUGGUGUCGGCCCUGCGCGCUUUCCUCCGCUCCACUCCAUCUCCAGUACGACGAUCGAGGCAGGGACCACCUGCCCCAUUCCACCUUUUCUGAUGGACCCUCAUGGACAAGAAUUGAACACACGAACAACAGAAUCUUUUCAGAUAGUCCUAGUUAAGGCUGGGAAGAUGCUGCCCUUGCUGCAGCCAGCCAGCCCGCCCCAUCUGUCCCGCUCCCCUGUAACAGAACAGCGUGAGCGUCUUGAGGUCUUUCACUUUUACCCCCAUAAAAUGCAAAGCGAGUGCGCUCCCCUAAAACAGUCAACCCCCCAUAUCAGCACACAACGCGGUGUUUUGCUGCAGCUUCCCACAAGUUUUCAUCUCCUGCAACGACAAAAGAGAAAACCUCCCCUCCAUCGGAAAGAGACUUGGGGAUGGGACCUGGCCCAGGCAGCGGCACCCCCGUUACAUUUGGAACAAGGAACCCGUUCUGGUCACUGCCCCUGCAACAAGCUCAGGAGUUCAGCUCCUUAUCCACACCUCAGCUUUCUUCUCUUCUCUUUUUACCCCUGACUGAGUUUUCACCACGUGUGACGGGCGGCUGGGGCACAAGGGGACCUGCCCUGAGCCGGGAGCUGCUGGCGGUUCCCCCUCGAGCCUACACUCAGCUGAAUAUGGAAAGGUGUUUCAAGUGCCAUCGAUUUCCAAGCGUUAUCAAUUUUCAAGCAUUACCAAUCUCUGCUUCUCACGAAACAGACACCCAUUCAAUCCUGAUUCCUUUUUCUCUAACAACACUAGCCUAAGAGAUAUGACUAAAGAAACCCACAACAGGGCGAAGCACAUCCUCUGGAAGGCAAAACGCUCCUCUUGAGGCGAAGCGAGGGCCUGAGCCUGUUCAACCGCUGCGAGACUGAGGCUGGAGAGCUCAGCAGAUGACUCACAUCUUCACUUCUUUUUUUUUCCCCUCCUCUGUUUUUUAAGGAGGCCAGAGAUACCUGUUCUUAAGCAAGAGGAGCAACUUCCUGCAUCACACGUCGCAGACCCGUUUUGCUGCCUAUGAAAAGGCGCCUUUGCCACCGGCUCCCGGGGCCGAGCACUCGGGCUCUGACUCACUCGUCGCCCCACGGAACCCACGGCGGGGCUAAAAUUACACUGCCCCGCAUUUUGAAAGCGAGAUGGAUCGCGGUGCUCGAGUCACCCACCUCAGCCCGAAGUCUUGAAGGCGUCUGCUUAGACAUAGUUUUGAAACUUAAAGACUUGAGCGGCGUCGGUGGCGAAGUCGAGCUUAAGAUGACAGAGAGGAACAGAGUUUAUGAGCGGAGGUGGCACAAACUCGACAGCCCCUUACUUACAGCCCCACGAGAGGCGAGGGGAAAGGGCUUUGUUUCCAGACAGCGCCAAAUCCAAAGUGAUUUCAGGUUCCACGUACCAAACCCUUUGGGCUGGACAGAUAUUAGAAACAACUCCAAGAUAAAAAGCGCAGCCGGGCGUUAGCGGGAGGUCUGAGUCACGGUGCCCACGCCAAGGCAGCUUCCACGCUCCGGAGCAAGUUCUCCGCUCCCAGCGGUUGCUUCUCCCAUUCCCAGUGACACAAGAAGUAACACUCAGGUCCACCAGCGAAGCAACCGGUUAUCCCAGAUCUCGCAGGCAACUGUUUUGGUGACGCGACUGAUUUUUCUUGUUCUAAAGCGAGGGACGUUGCUUUGCGAGGACUCUUGUAUUGGCAGGGUUAAUUUCCAGUUAGGGGCGGCGGGUUUUUUUUCCAAACCCUGUCCACGAGGCCCGUGACCGUGGCAGAAAUCCUGCAGGAGCGUGAGUCACGGCGCGGUUCGGGGAGGGAGUCACGCUAACUCCUGCUGGAACAAAGGUCCGAUUUAAACCGAUAAGUGCUGACACUCCAAAAAAUGACUCAGUACUACAAUGAAAAGAGACUCGAGUUUACUCUUCUGGAGCCUUGUCUCCAAACUCCCAAGUAGUUUAAUUAAGUCAGAGUAAGUUCAUUUACACAGCCACACCCUUAACUGACAUUCAGGUAGACAGAGCCUGGCCUAAAUACCCCGGACUAAAAAGGUUUUUGCAGAGGAUUGCAGGACCCACCGCCCUGUUACCCCCACCUGGGUAAAGAACAUUCCUGAAAGCUCCGCAACAAGGCGACGGCUCCUCGCAGCCCCACACCCCGGGUGCUGGGAGCUGCUCCAAUGUCCCCUGUGCCACCAGAGCCCCCGCCCCAGCAGCCCCACAGGUGGAACCGGGGCCGGGCGCUGCGGGGCGGCUGCUUCUCCGGGGGCUGUGGGACAGCAGCUGCCGCAGGACCCGCACGCCCCCGGCCCCGCUGCACCUGCCCCGGUCCUUCCAUCCGCUCCCGCGCCAUGCUCAGGCACCAAAUUCACGUGCACCAACACCCCUGUGCACCCCUCGAGCCUUUUGUCCAUCGCUGCUUUUACUCUUCCCUUUCCAGGUGAUUUCCUCGGUGACGCGCGGCACCGUCCCGCGCAGCGCCGGGCCCUCCGUGCCCGCUCCCGGAGCCCAUCGCCUCCCCAGGCAACGUAAACUCGACACUAAAGUUUGCUCAAGGUUGGUAACUGCAAGUGGGGAGAAUUAAAGAAGUAUCAUCCUUUCCACUUAUAAAAAUAGUCACUACUCUGAGUCCCCGAGGAAUUACAGACAGGCUUUCAAAACUGUGCGAUACAGAACAGAGACCUCUUUAUGUCACAGAACGCUCCAUAUUGCCCCUUUCUGUUUCUCUCGUAAUUAAAUAUAAGUAACAUACCAGGAGAGCUCCGCUGUAUAAUUGCUUUAUUUUCUGCUUAUUAGUUCUUUACCAACACUACAGCCAUAUUGAGAACACAAAAUUCCUGUUUACUUUAGUCAGGGAGAUCACAGUCUACAAACUCAUUCACUUAUCGGACACGAUUAACGCCAUUCAAAACUUACUCCAUAAAUUCACAUGAACACAAAUUGAUGCACUUAAAACUCCAGAUUAGCUUGUAAAUCAUAGGAUUUCUUACAGAUUUGCCCCUGUAUCCUGCAGGCUGUGUUGAUGGCUUGACAGCCACCCGUUGGCGGUGAGGUUCAGCUACAGCCUAUAAAGGACAUGUGGAAAGUGAAACCUUUUCUCUUUUGUUCAGUAGCAAUGGCCAUUUAUUUGUGAAGUCGCUGCCACAUGUCUCAGCCACUUUUUUCUCCCCUUCCCACCCACCUCCCCCCCAAAAAAACCUUAAAAAAAAAAAUCAGAAGCGUAAUCAGUUUCCUUUCACCUACAAAAACAGAAUAACAAAGUCACUAAGGAAAUACAAAAUUGUGUAUUCAACUUAACGCAAAGUCUGCCCCAGCACUUGAGAACACAGUAAAUCAACUUAGACGAGAAAUGAAGUUAUUGAAGUUUUCAUGUUGACUGAGAAUAGAUUUAAGAAAGUUCAAGAACCAUUAAUAGAGCUUCAAGUUUUCCAGUUUAGGCAUUUACUUUGUGCUUGGCUAUUUUAUUUAUGCUCCAGAAGAAAACAGUAACCAUAUUCUUGUGUUUUUAGUCUUUAUACCACCACACUGUUUGUUCAGUUACAUCAACAGAAAAUUUAAAGGAAAAAAGCUAGAAAAUAGAGCAAUGAUAUUCCAGUGGCAAAAAGCCUUGAGUGAAAAAAAGGAACAAAAAAUAUCUUACCUCUUCUUUAGAGCUGAGAUCUAAGUUAUUCUACAUUACGCUUGUGAAGACUCAGUCAAUGCUCUAUCUUCUAGCACCAAGAACCCAUUCAGUCCCAUUUGCAACCCACAUAGAGAUAAAUCUUUCGGAACCGUAUUCUAAAGGAAUUUUUAAGUAGUCCAAAGCAUUCGAUUUCAGUAUUUUUAUCUUGCCAUAAAUCUUUGGUAAGAGCUCCAUGUACAAUGUCCUCAGCAUGCGGAGUCAACACUGCAGAAGUGUAGUGUAAUGCCCCCAGUUCCAUGUAAAACUCAUAUAGCUGGAAAAUAAAUUUAAAGAAAGAAAACAAAAAUAGCCAUUUUCUUCUGGUUUUGUAGCAUACAUUCCUAGAAUUCCCCAAUCAAGUUUAACUCCUUGAGGAAAUCUGAAGUUAAUCCUUAAGGCUGAAUAAGAACCAGCUGCUUUAACGUUUUUCACACCCAGCACUAAUACUUGAGUUUUUAUAGUAAUACUUGUUCUGGGUGGGUGGAGUUUUUAAGGGGUUCUUUUUGCCAGUCACAUCUGCAAACUGCGAUAUGGCAAAUGAGCUGCUUGCCCUUUAAGAACUAAUUAUGGAAGUUUACAUUCAUAGUCGUUUACUCUCUCUCUCUCUCUCUCUCUCCUCCCCGCUCUGGUUACUCAAUGGGCUUCAGCCAUCCAACAUAGUUCCCUUCCCGCAGGAGCACAGCAACAACCGAGAGAGACGGCAACUCCUCGGACGAGUUCAGUCCAGUCUUGGAAAACUAAAGCAAAGACUUAUUUCCUCAAAAUGGCCUUUAGUCAGAUGCCUGAAUUACCAGGCUCGGUUACAGCUUAGCACAGAACUCCCAAUUUCUUCCUCCAUGAGAUGAAAUUCAGAAAGAAUCUGAAAUCUUUUUUAAGAUUUAGACGCCUUAGACUGUCUUGAGACGGGAGCAACUCCCCUCGAUCGCAAGACAGGCAAGUCAGUGCUAGAUUUUCACCUAAACGUCCGUGAUUUGAAGUAAAACCUGUUGCAAUGCUUACACGUUAUUGCUGCGUUGUCUGGAAGGAACCUAUGGGAUCGGAGACUGACACCAGUAGGAAAAACUGCAGCUAAAACGUCUUUUGAAGUUUGCAAUGCAAGACAAAAACCGAACAGUAUCUACCCGGGAACUAUUACAUCAUUCCUGCCUUAUUUGCUAUAUGGUUGCUAUGUAGUAUGGGGAACUUAUUUGCAUCCCUUCUCAUGCAUGAUGUAUGGUUCAGAACUUCACAGCUGACAUUUCAAAGCGGUUCUUACAUUACCUGGCGGACGCUGCGCCUGAAAUGCACUUUGAACAUGUUACAAUGGUAUUCGCGCUGCCACCGCAGGCAAGAAUUCGUUUCGUUAUUAGUCUGAGAUAUGAAGACAGACUGAGAGUCACUAUUUAGUUACAGAUUAACAGAACUUUUUUUUUUUUUUUAAAAAAAGUCCUUAAUAUAAAAAGACAGACUGCAGUUUGAUUUUUAAGCAAUAAUUUUCAGUUUACUAGAUGAAGUAGACCUACCAACAUAUUCUGCGUGAAUGCAAAAAAGUAGCAAUCUACAGCAAGUGAUAGGAGGAAAAA